rnacentral:rRNA from 1 species
UGGGGAAUAUUGCACAUUGGAGGGAACUCUGAUGCAGCGACGCCGCGUGAACGAAGAAGGCUUUCGAGUCGUAAAGUUCUUUUAUAUGGGAAGAUAAUGACGGUACCAUAAGAAAAAGCCCCGGCUAACUACGUGCCAGCAGCCGCGGUAAUACGUAGGGGGCUAGCGUUGUCCGGAAUCACUGGGCGUAAAGGGUUCGCAGGCGGAAAUGCUAGUCAGGGGUAAAAGGCAGUAGCUUAACUACUGUAAGCAUUUGAAACUUCAUAUCUUGAGAAGAGUAGAAGUAAGUGAAAUUUUUAGUGUAGCGGUGAAAUGCGUAGAGAUUAAAAAGAAUACCGGUGGCGAAGGCGGCUUACUGAGCUCAUUCUGACGCUGAGGAACGAAAGCGUGGGUAGCAAACAGG